ensembl:lncRNA VLDLR-AS1 VLDLR antisense RNA 1
AGAACACGCAGCAGCAGCAGCAGUUAGCGCUGAUGCAACUAUCGUUGCUGUUGCCACCGCCUCCCCACUGACGGGGCGUGCACCUGGGGGGUACUUGCAGUUUCCAGGGGCAACAAGCAUCUCUCUACCACCCUCUCCUGCGCCCCUGAGAGAGGCUGGCUCCAAGCUUGAUAUAGAAGACUAUCAUAUGAACCAGAAAGGGUAACUGAAACCAAAGAAAUGACUCCAGUAUCAAGCUAAAGACAUGCCUUAAAGGAUGAGGAGGAGCAGAAAUCUUACCAGCAAGGCAAGAAAGAAGCCGUACGUGAACAGAAAUGAAAGAACCAGAGCAUUAUAGCAGAACGAAUCCUGGAAUGGGAAUGGAAUGCCUGGAUUUGUGGCACAGUUGGGAAGCGUCCUGGCCAUGCCAUGUUAAAGCUGUCUCCAAGGCAGUGAUUCUUACCCUUGGCUACACAUUGGAGUCAUUUGGGAAGCUAGAAAAAAAAAAUGCCCAGGACCUGGGCAAGACGGCUGAAUAAGAACAGCUCUGGUCUGCAGUUCCUAGCAAGAUCAACGCAGAAGGGAAGCUGGCAGCCUGGGCUCUUGGAGAUUGUAUCUGGUGCCGGAGAGGACUGGCUCCCACACUCAGUGAGGGAGGAAUUUUACUGACCCAGCAUCCAGAUGAACUUUGGUGAGGAGAGGAGGACAUAAGAGCCUGGUGGUUGAUGAUGGAAGAGAUGAAACUGUGAAGAGACCGAAGAAGCUAAUCUAUCAAUAGUUAAGAUUCCAUUUCUAAAAGAUCUUACUUUGAGUCUACCUAUGCCUGGGAUGUCAAGAGACGGAGUUUCACUGUUGUUGCCCAGGCUGGAGUGCAGUGGCGUGAUUUCAGCUCACGGCUACCUCUGCCUCCCGGGUUCAAGCAAUUCUCCUGCCUCAGCCUCCCAAGUAGCUGGGAUUACAGAUCAUCUCUCUACUGACCUUUUAGUGGCUUAGCAUUUUGUUGCAAUGCACAAGUGAAGUUGGGAAACAGAGCCAAGUGACAAGCUGUGAAGUAACAGCUCAGCCUUCACAAAGCAAAUGUGCUUUGUGCACUUCCUUGCCAGAGCAGAUGUGGCCUUGGUGGACUGUGGGGAGCAUCAUCUCUCAGGAAAGAGACAAAUGGAAGCAAAAUAGCAAAAUGGUGAAGAGGAGGGUUCUAGAGGCAGAGAGCCCUGCAGUCCUGAGUCCUGAGUCCACCGUUUAACAGAGUGACUUUGCUCAGCCUGUGGAUUAUAAUGAAACUUGCCUGUUAUAGGAUCCAGUUUUUUAGGUGGUAGCAACAUGCUCAAGGAAGAUGCAGCCCCUUCCUCCAGCCUGAGAGAAUAAAGCAUCAUUGGCUUAUGCCAACCAUGGCAAUCCCAUUCCCCUUUUCUCAUGAUUGAUUUGGGAAUGGGCAAGUGACCCAGUUCUAACCAAUGAGACGAAAGAAAAAGUCUAUUGGUCAGCUUAUCUCAGAAGAUUUUUGUUUCCUGCUAUAAAGAGAAACAGUAAGUUCCUUCCUGCCUGACUUAAAUGCAAUUGUGUGCAAACAUGUUACUUGGAGCUACAGCAACGAUUCUGUGACCAUGAGGCAAUAAGCCAAGGACAAAGGAUAGAAUAGUGAAAAGACAGAGUAUUGGAUUUUUUUUAUGAUAUCAUUGAACUGCU